AAAAAAUCACCACCUUACAUUGUUUGUCCAAUCCAAUUAUAUUGACGUGCAUGUGAACAUAGCAUUUACAAUGUUCCCUCAUUAUAUAAAUAACCAAAACUUGUCAGUUUGGUAAGCAACAAAAAACAACCAGUUUCGAGCUCUUGGCGUUGGUGGUGUUGGUGGUGUUGGUGAUGGAGAAGAGCAAGUCAUACCCAGAAUACUCAUCAUCUUUCUCUGGAGAAUUUGGGUUCGAAGAUGGAUCAAAUUCGUAUAGCUUCAACGGGCCAUGUCAGAAAGCGAAUGGAUUUGCAACAUCAAACGAUCCAGAGGUGAAGAGAAAGAAGAGAAUAGCUUCAUAUAAUGUGUUCACCAUGGAAGGGAAGCUUAAAUCUAGUGUAAGAAAUAGCUUCAAGUGGAUCAAGAGCAAGUUCAGCACUACUGAUCAUGUUCGUUAUGGUAUGUAAAUGGUUAAAAUUCUGCUUAUUUGGGGAUCAGAGAGAAGGGAAUUUUCUCUCCUUGGAAGACUAGAGAAGCUAGGAGUGUUAUGAUUUUGUGUUGUUUUGGUCUUUUUAGCUUGGAAUAUGCUUGCCAUGCAUCAUACGAGAGUUUGGUUGGUCAUUUGUAUGUUGGAGAAAAGAAAAAUCCCUUCUCUCCUUUCAUUUCUUUCUUGGUCUUAAACUCCUGCAAUUUCCCUAGUUCUUCUGUAUCUAUUAUACACUCCAUUUAGAAAGAAAACAGCAUAGGCAAGAAUUUCCAGAGACGAUGAUGGUGAUGAUCAUAAUUACAAUCAGUCACAAUGAUAAUAGAUAUAAUAUUGAUAAUAAAUCGAAUUAAUACUGCAUA
rnacentral:misc_RNA from 1 species